UACGAAGGGGGCUAGCGUUGCUCGGAAUCACUGGGCGUAAAGGGUGCGUAGGCGGGUCUUUAAGUCAGGGGUGAAAUCCUGGAGCUCAACUCCAGAACUGCCUUUGAUACUGAGGAUCUUGAGUUCGGGAGAGGUGAGUGGAACUGCGAGUGUAGAGGUGAAAUUCGUAGAUAUUCGCAAGAACACCAGUGGCGAAGGCGGCUCACUGGGUCAUUACUGACGCUGAGGCACGAAAGCGUGGGGAGCAAACAGG
rnacentral:rRNA from 1 species